rnacentral:tRNA from 1 species
GAGUUAAGGUAUCCAAGAAAAAGCUUCUAACUUUAUUCUUAAGCAGUGAAAUUCUGUUUUUUUCUCU